rnacentral:rRNA from 1 species
GUUAUCGUUUAUUUGAUAGUACCUUACUACUUGGAUAACCGUGGUAAUUCUAGAGCUAAUACAUGCCAAAAACCCCGACUACGGAAGGGGUGUAUUUAUUAGAUAAAAAGCCAACGCCCUUCGGGGCUCCUUGGUGAUUCAUGAUAACUCAACGAACCGCAUGGCCUUGCGCCGGCGGUGGUUCAUUCAAAUUUCUGCCCUAUCAACUUUCGAUGGUAGGAUAGUGGCCUACCAUGGUUUCAACGGGUAACGGGGAAUUAGGGUUCGAUUCCGGAGAGGGGGCCUGAGAAACGGCCACCACAUCCAAGGAAGGCAGCAGGCGCGCAAAUUACCCAAUCCCGACACGGGGAGGUAGUGACAAUAAAUACUGAUACAGGGCUCUUUUGGGUCUUGUAAUUGGAAUGAGUACAAUUUAAAUACCUUAACGAGGAACAAUUGGAGGGCAAGUCUGGUGCCAGCAGCCGCGGUAAUUCCAGCUCCAAUAGCGUAUAUUAAAGUUGUUGCAGUUAAAAAGCUCGUAGUUGAACCUUGGCCCUGGCUAGCCGGUCCGCCUCACCGCGAGCACUGGUCCGGCCGGGGCUUUCCUCCUGGGGAUCCGCAUGGCCUUUGCUGGUCGUGUCGGGGAACCAGGACUUUUACUUUGAAAAAAUUAGAGUGUUCAAAGCAGGCAUCCGCUCGAAUACAUUAGCAUGGAAUAAUGGAAUAGG